UAUGAUUUUAAAAAAAUCACUCUUGGUUUAUAUUAACCUGCAGCUCAUACUAACCUUACCUUACUGUUUUUUGUUAGUGAGACGUCUCCUUCAGCUCAGGACGGGACCUGGUUGACCCUCAGACCUCAUACAGAGCUCGCUGUAGCCACAGCGCUCUGCUUCACUGCUGCUGUGUGUCUCCUGGCUGCUCUCACAGUGUCUUACAGGAAGUGUCUCUCCUGCAGAGUCAGGGUCCACACGGUCCCAGAGGAUCACGAUUAAAUGACCAUGCUCUGGUGAGAAGGCUGGGUGUGAUCUGAGAGGGGAUAGCAUGAACUGCCAACAUGUUACAACCCCUCACUGAAGUUCCUCUGUGACAGAGAAGGAAAAGGACUGCGACACUAUACGGGGAUGGAGGUUUGUCUGGGAGCCACACCACUGGGACAGAUUUUAUAUGGUGAACUGUUCUGACAACAUUCAUGCUUUAGUUUCAGGCAGACAAAACAGAACUCCACACGGCAGCAAG